rnacentral:tRNA from 1 species
UUCCGCAGUAGCUCAGUGGUAGAGCAAUCGGCUGUUAACCGAUCGGUCGCAAGUUCGAAUCUUGCCUGCGGAGU